AUCUUUGGAUCUAGGUUUUUCUGGAGCCGUAUUAUGAACUGCUUCGAGCACUUCAGAGAUCUUCUUCAUCAAUUCAUCAUUAGAGGUUUGGAGCUUCUGAUUGAGGUUUGAAAUCUGCUCUUCUAUUGAACCAAACUGCUCUCUAGUUUGCUCAAAGUUCCUCUCUACCUGAUCCAUUAUGCUUUCGAUGGUUUUCAGAUCCUUCUCGUGCUUGUGCAGGCUAAUUUUUGCGGUGGAAUCAAUCAUGGUUUUCGGCCCAGGGUUGCUUUGAUACCAAUUUAUCAGGAAUUCAAGGAACAAUAAAAGAAAAGUAACUGAGAUGAAAGAAAAGAAACUUGUAAGAGAUGAAAAAUAGUAAUGUUAUUCAGUUCAU
rnacentral:lncRNA from 1 species